rnacentral:lncRNA from 1 species
CCCUGACACUUGGCGAAGUAGGAGCCCUGUGUGAUCGUGCGUCUGAGUCUGGGCUGAGACCAGUCCUGGCCAGGGCAGUUACCAGGACGGUCUCCGGAGGCCGGGAUUCGCGGAGGGUCCACCAGCAGGAAGAAACCCCAAGAGGAAGAAACCUCAGACAGAUCGCCGGCGAGGCAGCGCGGGAUCCCAGCCUCAGGCGUGCGCGGACGGUGUGCGGCGCACACAACCAAGCUUAGGAGCCGACUGUUAAGAUGCCCCAGUGACACGGACAAGUUUCUCCUCUGCAACCCAAUGAGAGCUGCUGACCACGAGAGCAUCGCGGGACCGCCAAAGGAUUCUGGAAAAUGUGGUCCCGGGUGGCCAGUGUGCGCUGACCUUCACCUGAAGGUACGGCUUGAAGGAAACUUCUGGAGGGUGGGGUGGUGUUGAAGAGAAGGCACAAUUGUCACCAUUUUGUUCAACAUGGGCGUUUUCUUUGUGCAUUGAUUUGCAUUUUUAAAGGAAUUUCUAAAAACAGAAGAAGCCUACAGGACUUUAACCUGGAAGCUACUCCGGGAAUCGGGAAUGUUUCCUCAGGGCACAGCUACAACUGAAACUUGUCAGGAAUUUCAAAAAAAAACAAAACAGACAACUUUGGGAUACGGCUGGAGGUCUACAGAUGGGUCAUUUUAUAUCCUGAGGUCUGAACAAGAUGAUUAUAGCCCCUUAAAAUGAUGUACACAAAAGGAGAAUAAAUUGGAAGAGAGCACAGAUGAGUGGUUUAUAGGGAGGACCUGCUUUUUUUCCUCUAGUUUUCAGGUCUCCUCGUUGCUGAGGGAUCCAGCCCCAGCUCUAGACCAAGAAAUGGGAAGAUUUUAGAGUGACUAGUGAUCUAUCAUCUACAAUUAUUAAACAUUCUCAGCAGUUUAUGCAAAAAAUAACAAAACCACUGCAGAUAACUAAGACUAGGUAAUACAUAUAAUGUUUCCCAAAUACCUACCCACAAGCUGAACAAUUUUUUUUUUUUUUUGAGACAGAGUCUCGCUCCGUCACCCAGGCUGGAGUGCAAUGGCAAGAUCUCAGCUCACUGAAGCCUCCACCUUCCGGGUUCAAGCGAUUCUCCUGCCUCAGCCUCCCAAGUAGCUGGGAUUACAGGCGUGUGCCACCAUACCCGGCUAAUUUUUGUAUUUUUAGUAGAGACGGGGUUUCGCCAUGUUGGCCAGCCUGGUCUCAAACUCCUGACCUCAGGUGAUACCCCCACCUCAGUCUCCCAAAGUGCUGGGAUUACAGGUGUGAGCCACCAGGCCCGGCCAAGCUGAACAGUUCUAAGCUGUUAGGAUCAUUGCCUCUAUUAUCACCAUGACAUCAGGUCACCACCAAACCGUCAAGUGCUAAACAGACAGAAUGUUUCCACUCCUGAUCCACUGUGUGGAGAAGCACAGAGCUUACCCA